rnacentral:lncRNA from 1 species
GGGGGAGCAGCAACCACCGGGGCAGUUUCACUCUCUGCCCUAUUGACACCCAGAUCACAGCGCCCUUUUCUCCCUUCUUGGAGAAUCAGUCUGUCUCAACGACUCCGACAGCUGGCCAGAGGCGGCAGCAGUGGGGAAGAGCGGAUUCCGCCCGCCCGGAACCACACUGAGAGCUCGCGGUCCCGACUUGCCGCCCUAAGCGCUCUCCCAAGUCCAGCCCGCUCGGCGAGGACUUCCUUCUCCUGGACGAAUCUUGUCAAGCAAGCUGGGAUCUAUGAGUGGAAAGGUGACCAAGCCCAAAGAGGAGAAAGAUGCUUCUAAGGCACCAAAUUCAAAAGUGAAAAACAACAGUUGAAAAGAAACCACUCAUGGUAAAGGGGAGCUGGACAUGGAUUGGAUUUGCCAUCAAUGAAGAUGAGAUUUACACACCAGCACUAGAAGUAAAGGCACAGUAAUUUGGAAGCUUUCCAUCAGAGGAUAUAUGUCUACAAAGUUGUCUGGAACACCAGUGUUGUGCUAUGACUUAAAAAGAGAUAGCUACUUUUGUCAUGUACAAGAACAUAAAAGAACCAAAGUUUCUAACUAACAAAUUUUGUGAACUUAAGCAUUUGCCAUAGUGAAGAAAUGUAAGCCUUAAUGUUUUUUUUUCUGCUUGCUUUUGAAGGUAUUUUUUGUAGCAAAAAUUUUGAGGAAGUGUUAUGAAAUAACAUACCUUUCCCUAAUAAAUAGCUAAAGGUUGUGACCCUGUGGUAUUUA